rnacentral:lncRNA from 1 species
CCGAUUGCUCUCCUUUCUUUCUUACAACCUAUCUUAGUUUUAGGACAAGGCUUUGGGAUUUAAGACAAGGCUUUGGGAUUUAAGACAAAGCCUUAUCUAGUUCUAAAAAGGGUUGUAAGGGUCCUAAAGAAGGAGAAUCAGAAAUCCAGAGGAUGUUCUAAGAGGGUGAUGUCAGGUUCUUGAAGAAACCUGACUGGUAUGAGGCUAGUCAAGUUCUAGGGGCUAGAAAUCUUGAAGCAAGAUGAGAAGGAGCGCUGUAUUUGGUUCAAUUUUCGUGUGGAUCAUCAUUGGAGGGCGGACACUUGGAUGCUUUAUAAAAAUUAGGAUUAGCGCUACAAGUAUUCUUCUUAUCCUAAUUUAUAUUUAUUAUGCUUUGAUUAUUAUAGUCAAGGAUUUCUGGGCA